UACGUAGGGUGCGAGCGUUGUCCGGAAUUAUUGGGCGUAAAGAGUUCGUAGGCGGCGCAGAAAGUAGGGUGUGAAAGCCCUCGGCUUAACCGAGGAAUUGCGCUCUAAACUACUGUGCUUGAGGAACCUAGAGGUGAGCAGAACUGAUGGUGGAGCGGUGAAAUGCGUUGAUAUCAUCAGGAAUACCGGAGGCGAAGGCGGCUCACUGGGGGUUUUCUGACUCUGAGGAACGAAAGCCAGGGGAGCGAACGGG
rnacentral:rRNA from 1 species